rnacentral:snRNA from 1 species
AUACUUACCUGGCAGGGGAGAUACCAUGAUCACAAAGGUGGUUUUCCCAGGGCUGGAUGUGCUGACCCCUGCGUUUUCCCCAAGGGUGGGAAACUUGACUGCAUAAUUUGUGGUAGUGGCAGACUGCAUUCACAUUCUUCCC